AGUCCAUGGUGUGGGCAGCAUUGCAGUAGGUCCUUAUAGCACUCCCAGGUGUCAUACAUCGAUUCAUCGUCAAACUACAAAAAAGAAGAUGUCAUUUUUAAGUUU